rnacentral:rRNA from 1 species
GACGAACGCUGGCGGCGUGCUUAACACAUGCAAGUCGAACGGGAAGGCCCUGCUUUUGUGGGGUGCUCGAGUGGCGAACGGGUGAGUAACACGUGAGUAACCUGCCCUUGACUUUGGGAUAACUUCAGGAAACUGGGGCUAAUACAGGAUAGGAGCUCCUGCUGCAUGGUGGGGGUUGGAAAGUUUCGGCGGUGGGGGAUGGACUCGCGGCUUAUCAGCUUGUUGGGGGGGUAGUGGCUUACCAAGGCAUUGACGGGUAGCCGGCCUGGGAGGGUGACCGGCCUCAUUGGGCCUGCGAUACGGCCCAGACUCCUACGGGAGGCAGCAGGGGGAAAUAUUGCACAACGGGCGGAAGCCUGAUGCAGCAAUGCUGCGUGCGGGAUGACGGCCUUCGGGUUGUAAACCGCUUUCGCCUGUGACGAAGCGUGAGUGACGGUAAUGGGUAAAGAAGCACCGGCUAACUACGUG